AACCCUUAUUAUGGUCGUGUUAUCUACUAAAAUUAGAAUGGUAUAAGAGGAUAAGUAUGGCCUCGGCCCAAGAUGUCAUGAAAUAUUGUGAAGUAUGCCUGUUUUUG
ensembl:snRNA U6 U6 spliceosomal RNA